rnacentral:rRNA from 1 species
AUUGAACGCUGGCGGCAGGCCUAACACAUGCAAGUCGAACGAGUGGCGGACGGGUGAGUAAUGCCUGGGAACCUGCACGCAGGCGGGGGAUAACUGCUGGAAACGGUAGCUAAUACCGCAUACCAUCGGAUGUGCCCAAAUGGGAUUAGCUAGUAGGUGGGGUAACGGCAAACCUAGACGACGAUCCCUAGCUGGUCUGAGAGGAUGACCAGGCACACUGGAACAGAGCAACGGUCGAGACUCCUACGGGAGGCAGCAGUGGGGAAUAUUGCACAAUGGGCGCAAGCCUGAUGCAGCCAUGCCGCGUGUAUGAAGAAGGCCCUCGGGUUGUAAAGUACUUUCAGCGAGGAGGCGUUACUCGCAGAAGAAGCACCGGCUAACUCCGUGCCAGCAGCCGCGGUAAUUC